rnacentral:tRNA from 1 species
GGGGUUGUGGCUCAGUGGUAGAGCUCUUGCCUAGCAUGCAUGAGGCACUGGGUUCAAUCCCUGGCACCA